rnacentral:tRNA from 1 species
GCUAGCGUGGUUUAUUUAAAAACGUAACACUGAAAAUGUUGAAAUGAGCCCUAAAAAGCUCCGCAAGCA